GAUGAACGCUAGCUACAGGCUUAACACAUGCAAGUCGCGGGGUAACAUCUGGUAGAGCUUGCUCUUCCAGGAUGACGACCGGCGCACGGGUGAGUAACGCGUAUCCAACCUGGCCCAUACCACGGGAUAGCCCGUCGAAAGGCGGAUUAAUACCGUAUGCUGUCAUUAAGAUGCAUAUAUUGAUGACGAAAGGACUGGCGGUAUGGGAUGGGGAUGCGUCUGAUUAGCUUGUUGGCGGGGUAACGGCCCACCAAGGCGACGAUCAGUAGGGGUUCUGAGAGGAAGGUCCCCCACAUUGGAACUGAGACACGGUCCAAACUCCUACGGGAGGCAGCAGUGAGGAAUAUUGGUCAAUGGGCGAGAGCCUGAACCAGCCAAGUAGCGUGCAGGAUGACGGCCCUAUGGGUUGUAAACUGCUUUUAUAAGGGAAUAAAGUGAGUCU
rnacentral:rRNA from 1 species